CAAAUGACCACCAAUUUUGGGUUUGCCAAGCUAUGACACUUUAAUGUCCUUUUUGCUCGUAGACUAAUUGGGUUGGAGUUUCUAAUGAGAUCCUUUCAGAGACACAGGUGGAGGAAGUGAGGAGUCAGGUGCAGAGACACCUUUCUGGAUUACUGGAUGAGAUCCCGAUUGUGAGCAUUACACAAAUUCAGUGUGCUGUAGCUAAAUCUUCACACAGACAUCAGCGAGCUGUGUCACCUAAACCAAGUAAAGCAAGAAAAAACAAACAGAUCAGCAGAAAAGGAAGGAGCAGUGAGUCAACGGCCAGUGGAAAAUGCAACUUUGCAAGCUGAACAGCCUCUAAACCUGAGUGAAUCUGACAUGACCACACACGAACCCCAACAACAAGCUCCAGAAGAACUGCACAGAACUGACUCUCCUUGACCCAAAGCUGAGGCUUUUAAAGAUUUCAAGGCAGAACGAGGAAGUGAGAUCAACCGCAUCCUAAAGGAGAACAAGGCUGUUCUGCUGGAGCGCAUGGCUCAGUUACGCACACUCACAGAUGCCAUCAAUGUCACUAAACGAGAUCUUGACUAAAUUACAUAUGAACUGUGGCAAUUCAGAAAGUGAACACAAAGCCAGGGUGAGCAUUAGAUGACUCAUCUGAAUCUGUUGAUUUGCCUACAGUAGGGAAGUGUAGGAAUGGAGAAUAAACAAGUUAGCUUUUGAAUGAGAUGUAGUUAUCAUAUGGACCUGAAGGCUGUUGGUUUCACAGGUCAGUUUGUGAGUGCGGAGGGGGAGCCUGUGCUGGAGGAGGCUGAACUGUCUCUAGUGAUCCAGCUGAAAGAGCUGAAGAACCAUUAGAGACAAGCCUACGAGGACUUCAGAAGCACAAAAACAGAAGUCAGCUACUGUCAGCACCUGGUGAAUCAGUGCCGCACACGGCUGCUCACAGAGUUUGAGAGCUGGUACAAUGAGUCUUUGCUGUUUUGCUUUGCUGAUGAAGUGUUGUCAGUGUGUCUUAGAGAAAGGACUGGUUCGGCCGGGUCACAUACCUGUGGACAAAGCUUUAACGCUGGUGCAGUGUGACGGGACAUACAGCCAAAUGGAGGAUGAUGAAGAGCAAAGUGAUAGUCUCCAUCACAAGCUGCAUGCAGACAGUACUGUGUCUUUUUACAAUGCCUAUAACAGGACUCUAAAAAGGAGGGGAAGGAGACAGGUGUCCCGAAGUCCAGAGUCUGUGAGGGGAAGCAGGAGUGAAACAAAACUCGCUCCUAUUCUCUCAGUCGUCUGAUGAAGGUCUCUGUCUUCAGAGUACUUGACACUCCCUGAAGCAUGUCUCCAUGAAUGUGUGAAUUCAGUAGGACAUAUGAAAACAUCUGCUAUUUGAAACCUGCUUGUGCUGUAUGAUGUGCUAAUUUGUCCUUAAACUUGAUAUUGUUCAAAAGCAAGA